CGGGAUGUAGCUCAGCCCGGUAGAGCGUUCGGUUCGGGACCGAAAGGUCGCAGGUUCAACUCCUGUCAUCCCGACCA
rnacentral:tRNA from 1 species